rnacentral:rRNA from 1 species
AGCGAACGCUGGCGGCAGGCCUAACACAUGCGAGUCGAACGAACCUUUCGGGGUUAGUGGCGGACGGGUGAGUAACACGUGGGAACGUGCCUUUAGGUUCGGAAUAACUCAGGGAAACUUGUGCUAAUACCGAAUGUGCCCUUCGGGGGAAAGAUUUAUCGCCUUUAGAGCGGCCCGCGUCUGAUUAGCUAGUUGGUUGAGGUAAUGGCUCACCAAGGCGACGAUCAGUAGCUGGUCUGAGAGGAUGAUCAGCCACAUUGGGACUGAGACACGGCCCAAACUCCUACGGGAGGCAGCAGUGGGGAAUCUUGCGCAAUGGGCGAAAGCCUGACGCAGCCAUGCCGCGUGAAUGAUGAAGGUCUUAGGAUUGUAAAAUUCUUUCACCGGGGACGAUAAUGACGGUACCCGGAGAAGAAGCCCCGGCUAACUUCGU